rnacentral:rRNA from 1 species
UACGUAGGGGGCAAGCGUUAUCCGGAAUUAUUGGGCGUAAAGAGUACGUAGGUGGCAACCUAAGCGCAGGGUUUAAGGCAAUGGCUCAACCAUUGUUCGCCCUGCGAACUGGGAUGCUUGAGUGCAGGAGAGGAAAGCGGAAUUCCUAGUGUAGCGGUGAAAUGCGUAGAUAUUAGGAGGAACACCAGUGGCGAAGGCGGCCUUCUGGACUGUAACUGACACUGAGGUACGGAAGCGUGGGGAGCAAACAGG